GACGAACGCUGGCGGCGUGCCUAAUACAUGCAAGUUGAGCGCUGAAGGUUGGUACUUGUACCAACUGGAUGAGCAGCGAACGGGUGAGUAACGCGUGGGGAAUCUGCCUUUGAGCGGGGGACAACAUUUGGAAACGAAUGCUAAUACCGCAUAAAAACUUUAAACACAAGUUUUAAGGUUGAAAGAUGCAAUUGCAUCACUCAAAGAUGAUCCCGCGUUGUAUUAGCUAGUUGGUGAGGUAAAGGCUCACCAAGGCGAUGAUACAUAGCCGACCUGAGAGGGUGGUCAGCCACCUUGGGACUGAGACCCGGCCCAAACUCCUACGGGAGGCAGCAGUAGGGAAUCUUCGGCCAUGGACGAAAGUCUGACCGAGCAACGCCGCGUGAGUGAAGAAGGUUUUCGGGUCGUAAAACUCUGUUGGUAGGGAAGAACGUUGGUGAGAGUGGAAAGCUCAUCAAGUGACGGUAACUACCCAGAAAGCGACGGCUAACUACGUG
rnacentral:rRNA from 1 species